CAAAAUCGUGAAUAUUCAGAGUUCUGUUUUGUCAAGUUUACCCAUAAUUUCCUUAACUUUUUAUUUUUAUUUUCCUUAAUUUCAUAUUUUUGGAUUUUUUCCUUUUUUUUUUCUUGGACUUAGACGAGUUUGUGUGAGUCAAUUUAGGAUUGAUCGAGUCAGGUCAGGUCACCCUAGGCAAUGUCAUUUUCGAGAGUGUGUCCAUGAUUUGCUUUAAUGAUUAUCUUGCCUGUGGUGUGUUUAGCCACAGUCGAGAAAAUCCCUUGUCU
rnacentral:lncRNA from 1 species